CCCGCGCCCUCCCUCCCCCUCUCGCACCCGCGCCUCCCUCUCCUUUUCCUCUCUCCCCUAGCGCCGCCGCCCCUGUCUACUUCCCGGUCGCCGCCCGACCUCUUCUCCUCUUCCUCUCGCCCCUAGCGCCACUGCCCCUGCCUCCUUCCCUGCCGCCGCCCGACCUCCUCCCCUCACAUCCUCCUCCUUCCACCCCCUCCGAUCUGGCGCCGCCCAAACCCUAACCCGUCGUACCGGCUCCCGUCGGAGGGAAGGAGGAAAGGCAAGGCGACGCAAAGGCGGCGGUUUAGGGGAUGCAACAUCCCCUCCAAGAGCCUCAGUAUGGAACCCUCCUCACCUUUUCUUCCUCUGGUUUUUCUCCGGCGCCGUCGUUUGACCUCGGCCGCCGGCCGACGCUCCGGUGAGCUCAGGCGCCGCCCAACACACACACGGCAGAGUUCUUCCUCCCCAGCACGCGUCCUCUCCAAUCGGUGCGGCGGAGCCACCGUGGUGGUAUGGCAACAGAGGGCCGCCGUCGUCUGGAGCCCGUCCUCUUCUCCACAACCAAGCACCUCCGGUCGUAGCCCCGUCGCUUCUCCUCUCCAGUCGCCGUGGAGGAACGCCGCAUCCAGCCUCCCUCCCUCCUCGACGGCGACCGAAACCCUAGCUGGGCCGCCCUUCCACCCAUGGCAAUGGGAGCUCGUAGCAGGCUGCUGCUAGAGUAUGGAGAGAUGGACAAAAGAAGAGUGUACAUAUACAGGCUCUUGAGCACUGGAACCGUUGAGGAGAAGGCUUUCAGCUCCAAAUCUUGUAUACCAGUGUCACAUGGCAAAAGAAAGCCUCCAGAAAAGUAUUCAGCAGGAACAAGCGAACGACAAAAUGCAGGUUCAAGGCAAUUCUCUUUGAACAGAAGGUCUGCGUGACCUUUUCUCUUCAUCAACAAGUCAGUCCUGGCAUUGUAACUCGUGGUUUACCAUCCCACAUAAACCCAUGUUGUCUGAUCAUCGUGCAGUGGCAACAUCUAAUUAAAUUAGCCUACUGCUUUGCAUACAUAGUCUUCCUUAAAUUGUUAGCCUGGGCUGAUUAUUUUUCGUACAACUGUAAUGUAUUGUCUAUACCUUGGGUCUGUAGUUGUUGCUCCUUUGUAUUGGCUGGCUCUGCAGCUCCUUUAGAUUGGCUGGGUAUGAGUCUCUUCUAUUCAUUUGGAUUGGCUGGGUCUGUGUUGCCUGAGUCUGCAUCUGCUGCUCCUUUGGAUUGGGCUGGGUCUGAGGCUGCUGCUCCUUUGGAUUGGCUGAGCAUGUGGCUAUUGCUCCUUCAAAUUGGUUGUCUCUUUGACGCGUCUCCACUUCAGACUGCUUUUUAUGGGGAGAAGUUUAAUUGUUUCAACCGAGUCAAAUGCAAAAGGAAGGCACACAUCUGCUUCCCUCCUGGUGUUCACAUAUACUGUUGAUGUUGAAAUAAUUAUUGAAGACUGAACUAUAGAAAGAUGGGAUCAGAAUUAGGAGAUAUGUAAAUAUGUAAUUUCUCUCGAAGAUGGGCUCAGAAUUAGAAGAACAUAUAUGUUGAUCUCUUUCACUAUCGUUAGGACCUGCUUUUUUAUAUCAUGAUACAUUUUCCAUGACAUGCUCAAAGUGAUAUAAUGAACUGAACCAUUUUAUUAUUACAAGUUACUCCC
rnacentral:rRNA from 1 species